GCGUAGUUGACGGCUUGGUUCCCGGGUUGAUGAAGGAAGGAAGGAAAUUCGAAAGGUGGUGCGAAAUGCAAGGAUUUGUGAAUCCAAGGAUAUUCGAAUGCCUUGUUGUUCCUUUGCCGCCUUUGGGGUGCCAGGGGGGGGUUGGCC
rnacentral:rRNA from 1 species